UCCAAUAUGUCUUGUGUUCUUAUAUGACACAGGCACACAAAGAGGGAAGACCAUGUGAAGUUUACAGGGGGAAAGCAACCACUUAGAAAUCAGGGAGAGAGACCUCUGAAGAAACCAACCUUCCUGACACCUCCAGAAUUCCAUAAUCAACAAAUCUGUUCCUCCUCCAUUUUCUGAAGACAAAAGGGUUCCAGAGGAAAAGUCCUAAGUAUGUGCUUUUGAAGAAGAGGAUGAUAAAUUGUGACUACCUAUGUUGCCAUAAG